CUCCAAGGUCGUGGAUUUCCGGUCGCAUGCCGUCAGGCGUGAGUUCGAGCGUCGCAAACGUGAUCGGCAGCUUGAAACGCCGAGGUCCCGCGCUGCCGGGAUUCAGGUAGAGAAUGCCACCGACCGUGUCGAUCUUCGGUACGUGGGAAUGCCCGGAGACGAUGACGUCGAAGCCGGCGCCGAGAUCGGUCUUCAGCGUCUUCAGGUCGUGCAGAACGUAGAUCGACUUACCUGCCAGACGGACGAGUUUCGU
rnacentral:misc_RNA from 1 species